rnacentral:lncRNA from 1 species
GUCUGGGUCCUGACCUGAUCACCAUUCCCCAAGGCAGCUACUCAGUUCCAGAGGUUGAUUUUGUUGUGCACUGAGUCCCCUGUGUCUGCAGCAGCAUAACUCCUGUUUUCUUAACCUGGGAACACCAGCCUAUAAUCUGGAGGCCACAGAAUUGUCUGAAAUACAUAAUGAGGAUGAACAACAGCUCAAAUCCUGAAGGAUGUCUUCAGAGGCCACACUGUAGUCAUCACCUAAUACUGAAGUUGU